rnacentral:rRNA from 1 species
UGCGGUUAUACAAAAAUUAAAUUAAAUUUUUUUAGGAUUUAAUUAAUAAAAUUAAAUUAAUAAUUUAAAUUUUAAAUUAUAAAGUGAAAUUUUAAAUUUAAUUAAAAUUUAUUUAUUUUUAUGAUAUUAAUAAAUUUUAUAAAAAACUAGGAUUAGAUACCCUAUUAUAAAAAUUUAAAUUUAAAUAAUCUUAAAAUAGUAUAUAAUUUUUUAUAGAAACUUAAAUAAUUUGGCGGUAUUUUAGUUCAUUUAGAGGAAUCUGUCUAAUAAUUGAUAAUCCACGAUUAAAUUUACUUAAUUUUUAAUUUUGUAUAUCGUUGUUAAAAAAAUAUUUUUAAAUAAUUUUAAUAUUUUAAAAUUUAUAUAAAAAAUUAAAUCAGAUCAAGAUGCAGAUUAUAAUUAAGAAUAUGAUGGAUUACAAUAAGUUUUAUUUUAUUUGGAUAUUGAUUUGAAAUAAAUUGAUUGAAAUUGGAUUUAAAUGUAAUUUUAUUUAUUUUAAUAAAAUGAUUAAAAAUUAAAAUAUGUACAUAUUGCCCGUCGCUUUCAUUAAUAAAUUGAAAUAAGUCGUAACAAAGUAGAGGUACUGGAAAGUGUUUCUAGAAAGAU